rnacentral:rRNA from 1 species
CUCGUAGGCGGCCAACUAAGUCAGACGUGAAAUCCCUCGGCUUAACCGGGGAACUGCGUCUGAUACUGGGUGGCUUGAAUCCGGGAGAGGGAUGCGGAAUUCCAGGUGUAGCGGUGAAAUGCGUAGAUAUCUGGAGGAACACCGGUGGCGAAGGCGGCAUCCUGGACCGGUAUUGACGCUGAGGAGCGAAAGCCAGGGGAGGCAAACG